UAAAUUUUAAAUGAAAAUACCGUUUUGCUGUAGAAUAUUUCAAGUAACGUGUGCGCUAUGAGCGCCAUUUUAAAAGUAGAGUAUCCUUGGAACAAUAUCUGCUUUUGUGUUUGAGACCAUAACUCUAAUCAAAAUUCGCUGCUACGUUGUGUCAGUUACCACGCGCAGGUUAAUCAGUGCAGUUUAUUUACUACUAAGUACCCUACAGCGGUUUGAUGCUCAGCUGUAUUUGACGCCCUGUUUACAUACAUACUUACAUCAUUAAAUGUUGCUAACAAAGAGAACACGUGGCAUUUAAGCUGAUGCCAGACAAAACGCUUGCGUGACAGAUGCACUUUGACAGAUAAGAUGAAUUGUAUGAUAAUGCACAAAGCAUGCCACAUCCAUAGAUCGUUGCAACUUCAGCUUACUGGCAAAGUUAUAAAUGUCACGCAAAGCCACAAAAUUGUAUCUGACAUCAGCUUUACGUUUCGAACUUUGCUUUCUACAUUUCUUGUCUAUGAAACUUUUCGCAUUUCAUUUUUCGUUACGGGAUCUACAAAUGUUUUGAUGCUUUCACAUUUCGCAAUGUCUUGAUGCUCUGUACAACUAACAUUCGCUGCAUGUCCACAAUUUACUGUUUAUUAUGUUUUUAUUUUGAAAAUAUGUAUAUAUAGAACUACGCCUGUACAUAUGUAUAUAUUUAUAUACCAGCUUGUUCAUAUAAAAAUAUUGCGUUUUGCUUUAGUUUAGCUGUAAAUUGCGCUUGAUUAUGCUUGUGUUUAUAUAUGUAAAUAAAUGUAAAAUUUAUACCAGUCAAAUUGUAUGUAUGUUUACGUAUUCGUCAUUUAUUUUUAUUUUUACUAAGUAUUGAAAAUCAUUUCCAGUUUCUUGUUGGCUUUUCUUUUUGGUAUACUUAGUUUAGUUUAGUUCAGCUGUACACAAUAACAAAAAGGUGCUUUGCUUUUCUCUCACUAAAAUUGCGCCCAAAAUGCAUCCUAAAACAAAACAAAAUACCGAAAAUGAAAUGAAAUGAAGACCAAAAACAUUAAAAUGCACACAUUUAUGUAUAUAUAUAUAUACGCAUAUUUAUGCCCAUAAACACUAUGCACUUUACUUUUGACGAGCUAUCAGCUCAUAUUCGCAAUACCGCUAAAGAAAACUUUCGAAAUCCAGCCGCUUUUUUCUAGUACAUAUUUAAAUGGUAUUGUGCAUAAAAAUUGAAAUGCUUUUUUUCCUUAAAAGUUCGAAUUUUGAUAGUAAUUUUAAAAGGAGUAAAAUAAAUAAUUAAAAAAUAAAAAAUAACUAACACAAAUCACUAACGUGCAUAUCUGAUCUAGUAGUUUAGUUAACCCGCUCCGCUAUGCCUGUAACUAAUUAAACUUGAAAAAAAAAAAACAAAUCCCAUACGACUUUAAAACAAAAUUUAUAUAUAAAAAUAUGUAAACAUGGUGCAUAUUUUUGUAAAUAAAUCUUACACCCUUAUACAUUAAUGUAAAAUUAUAACACACAUGUGUGGAAAACCAGGCCAACUGCUGUGUAAAAAUAACUUAAGAAGCUGUACAAAUUUUCUAGUAAAAAAGAAAUUUUAUUCAAAUAUUUUAAUUAUACAGUUCCAAAAUUGAAUGAGAUGAAAUUAAAAAUCAUAUCAAAAAUAAUAAUUCAAACAUUAAAAAUCCUUUUUUUAAAUUUUCAUGACAUUUUUUAUCAAAAAAUGUAUUUUAUCAACAAAAUUUGCUUUGGUUUUAGUUAAAAUUAUGAAUUAAAUUAUUUUGAAAUAUAAUAAGGGGUACGCAGAGUGAAUUUUAUAACGGUUAAAUAAUUUUAAUGGACUUGCAACCACAAAAAAAUUUGUGCCCACAAAAAAAUGUAUAAUAUGAGUUAAGAUCUUAAAAAUUUAGCUAUGGUAAAAUUGACAUGGGACACCCUGCGAAGUACCUUAUUAUCGAUCAAUAAUUUCUUUGACAAUUUCAAAAAAAAAAAAACAAAUUAAGUUAAUUUUUUAGCUUUAAAAAAAUAAUUAAAAAUUCAAAUACAUACAGUUAAUUUUCAAUAUAAAAGUGCUCAUUAAAGAAAAAAAACUUAAUUGAAUUGCCUGAUUUUGCAAACAUUCAAUAUAUUAAAACAAAAAAAAAAAAACAAAACAAUAUUAAAAUUUUACAAAAAGAGAAAAAAAUUUAACUAAAACUAAAAAUCACACAAAAAGCUAUUUACGAAUGUUUAUAAAAAAUAAAAUACCUGAUAGUGUUUUAACGUUCGUGGCGUGUUUAUCUGUCCUAUUUUGGCAACAUACAUAAAUACUUGUCCGUCCUGGUAAAAUAACAAAAUGUCUGUCACUAAAGCGCAAAAUAUGUAUUUCCAGCAACUGGCCUCGUUUUCAAACAAAACAAGUAUUCUCCUACAUACUUAUAUGGCUAGUUCUAACCAAAAAUAAAUCCCACUUUCCCUUCCAAGAAAAAUAAAAAUUCUACCAUACAUA